rnacentral:rRNA from 1 species
GACGAACGCUGGCGGCGUGCUUAACACAUGCAAGUCGAGCGGUAAGGCCCUUUCGGGGGUACACGAGCGGCGAACGGGUGAGUAACACGUGGGUGACCUGCCCUCAGCUCUGGGAUAAGCCUGGGAAACCGGGUCUAAUACUGGAUAUGACUCCAUGACGCAUGUUGUGGGGUGGAAAGCCUUGUGCGGCUGAGGAUGGGCCCGCGGCCUAUCAGCUUGUUGGUGGGGUGANGGCCUACCAAGGCGACGACGGGUAGCCGGCCUGAGAGGGCGACCGGCCACACUGGGACUGAGACACGGCCCAGACUCCUACGGGAGGCAGCAGUGGGGAAUCUUGCGCAAUGGGCGAAAGCCUGGCGCAGCGACGCCGCGUGAGGGAUGGCGGCCU